AACUCCUGUUCUCUCUCUCUUUCAUCAUCGGCUUCUUCAAUUCUUCCAGGGCAAGGCAAAGGAUAAAUGGAGUUUUUAAGGAAGGCAGAUACUUAUUUUGCUGCUUUCUGUGCUAUUCCUCAUGCUUGCUUUGUGUUUGUGUGCUGUUUUGGGUGUGCCUGGGCACAGCCAGCCCAGGGCAGGAGUGACAACAACCCCCUGCCCCAGCACCGGGUCCGGCUGUUAAAACAUGGGAUGGAACCUCCCUGGGAUUUGUGCCCCACGUGCUCCCUCCUGCUCUGCUGUGGGACUGGGACUGUGGACCUUGGAAAUACAUCAGGUGGUCAAGAAGGACUUUCUUUUGGAUAAUACAAUUCCCCUGCCUGAAACAAGGGAGAUACUUGAGUCCUGUCUUCUGGAACAAGGUGGAUCAGUGAAGCUGCUCUGCCUUUCUUGACAGCACCAUUAGUGGUAUCUGCUACUGCUGGAGGUGAAUUAAAACUUAACAAUAACAAUUCUGGGCUCUGGGCCAGUUUCCAAAUGGAAAAGGCAAAGAGACCUGACAGACUGUCUUCCUGAGGUUCAUUGGCAACUCAGGUAAGGGAACUUCAGUGUUGGAAUGAACUGAUUUAAAACAUUUUGCUCUGAUCUGCAUUUCAAAGUAACUAUUCUGUAAAAUGUCCAGCCUGUUAAGAGUGAACAAAUAGUUUCAAGAAGAUAAACCACUUUAUUUCCUUCAAUUAGCAGCUUAAAUUGUUCACUCCAAUUGAAAUCCAUUUCUUGCUUAAUUCAAAGUAAACCUCUGAGUUGCUGCGUGAUCCAACUCUCUGCUGAAUUCCUCUACCUGCAGCUGGAUUUUGGUGUGAUAUCCUCAUUAUUCCACCUAAGAUAAAAUACUUGAUUUGGGGACUAAGAUGAUCCUGCAUCUCAGAGAGGUGUGGGAGUGGAGGACACACCUGCUUUCCUUUUUUGUUGCAGUGAGAAAAGCACAGGUGGAACAGAUUCUCCACGAAAUGUGGGGACAUUGUCCCCUGUGUGGAGGUGGAGACAGAGCUCCAGGCUAUGCUAGUGCUGAAUGUUGAGUGGAAAAAGAUGCUGUAACUUUGGUUUCCAAGCUGCAGGUGCGUUCUCCUCAGAAAGGCCCAAGC
rnacentral:lncRNA from 1 species